GUGCCGGCCGGGGGACGGACUGGGA
rnacentral:ncRNA from 2 species